rnacentral:rRNA from 1 species
UACGUAGGGUGCAAGCGUUAUCCGGAAUUAUUGGGCGUAAAGAGCUCGUAGGCGGUUUGUCGCGUCUGCUGUGAAAACUGGAGGCUCAACCUCCAGCCUGCAGUGGGUACGGGCAGACUAGAGUGCGGUAGGGGAGAUUGGAAUUCCUGGUGUAGCGGUGGAAUGCGCAGAUAUCAGGAGGAACACCAAUGGCGAAGGCAGAUCUCUGGGCCGUAACUGACGCUGAGGAGCGAAAGCACGGGGAGCGAACAGG